rnacentral:lncRNA from 1 species
GUGGGGUGCAGAUCACCUCCCCUCCCUGCUCCCCAGAUCUAUGGGGCUUCCUGGCCAGAGCUUGAGCUGGGACUAGGGUCACUAGGCAAUCUGCCUCCUUUUACCACUAACCAGCUCAUGUGUCCAAGGGGUUGCACAGUGGGGGUCCACAGGCUGGGUUCAACCCAAGGAUAUAUUUCUUCUGUCCUGUGAUAUUUUCAAAGUUUGGGCAUUCCAUGCACAAGUAUGGAUUUUCUUCUCCUAACGAGUCUGCAGCUCUGGAACCCUAGGCCUUUACCCUCUUGGCAGCCACUGGCAGGCCUGGGAUCUGUUCUCUGUUCCUUGGUCCCUGAAAAAUCUCCACUGGGCCCCACCUGGCCUGCCUGAACCCUGCAGGCUGCCCUUUGGAGGCCCCCUCUGGAAUGUCCGGGGCACUGAGGGUGGUGACCUGCCCAAUCCCCAGCUGGCCCAGGCCUCGCUCCUGCAAGGGUGCUCUAGCCACUGCCCUGCGGGCCUCUCACUGAGGACUGUGGGCUCCGGGAGCCCUGGGAAUGGAGAUCUCCAGAAGGUCAGGAGCCUGGCCACUGUCUAGAGCAAGGCCACGCAGGCAGUCCCCGCUCCGGUCGGGGGGCAUUCAGUGCAUCUUAGAGAUCCAGGCCCAGACCCAAGGCAGAACUCUGGAGCUUUCGAGGUUCUGCCAGCAACCCGGUGGGAGGGGGGGGGGGGCUUCCCUAUCCCGUAGGUGCCCCCCCCCCUCCAGGGAUCAGGACACUCACAGGCCUGUCUCAGGCAAAGGGGGAAAGGUGUGGAGAAAUGGGCUGGAGUGGCUGCUGGGCCUGGGUCUGUGGGCCCAGGCCCCGACCACGGCUGCCAUGUUGUGUCAUGGUGGCUUGGCAUUCCGGCUGCCCUGGCACAGUCGCCCCAGGCAGAGCAGACAGGGACGUUGUGGCCGGGUGCGUCCUGCUCAGGAGGGCCCCCCCGGCAUGGCCGCAGGGAAGCUGCCGGGGGAAGUGGGGUGGGUGGGGAGCAGUGUCCCCCCAGAGCCCCCAGGACCGCUCCUGCUGCGGCCCGGAUGGGGCAGGUUUUCCCUGAACUGUUGGGGGGUCCCUCUUCUUGGCCCUAAUCCGAGCGUGGAGCCCCCCCGGGCAGGCCCCCGCCCGAGAGAGUGACCACCUUAGAGGUGCAGUGGCACCCCCCCCCGCCCCCCCUGCUUCCCUCAGCCAAAGUGCGGGGGGGGGGGGCGUGCAAGAAACAGAGGAGAGAGCCCGAGUGGUCUUGUUUCCCCUUUAAGAGCCUGGAUGGCCGCCGCCCAGACGCAGCAGCCCCCGGGAGGGAACGUGUCGGGAAGAUUCCCUCCCGAACUUCCGAGGCUUUGUUCGGGAGGAGGCCGGGGAGGGCAGACUUCGCGGGGCGCUGGAGGGCCGGGGCUCGGCGGUGCGCUCUCAUGGCGGNGGCGGCCGCGGCGCCCCCUCCCGGCCCGAGACCCGGCCCCUGCACCCCGGGCCGCCCACCCCGAAGCCCCGAAGCCCCGAAGCCCCGAAGCCCGGGCCGCGCGCUCGGACCCCGGCCGGCCGCGGCGCACGGGGUGGGGCGAGGGCGGGGGAGCGGGCGCGCUUACCGGGUCGUCCCGGGGAGCCCCGCGCGGUCAAGUUCACGUCCGGCCCCUGGACUGUCCGAGGUCCCGGCGCGGCCGGGCGGAGCGAGGCCGCGACGGGCGGCGCCCCGGGUCCCCGCCGCGCCCGGCCCUUGGGGCGCCGCUGUCACCCUGGCCUUGCGACCCCAACUUUCCGCCCGGUCGCGGAGCUGGAAGUUUCCGGGCUUCGCGGGCGCUGGGCUGGGUUUCAGCAGCGACGUCUGAGCUUGGCAACAAAGAGGGAAAGCAGGCCGGGAGAGGGGAGGAAAGAAAGAAAUACGCUGGAGGGGGGCGGGGGGGUGCUGGCUACUUAGAAAUCCGACAAUUUGAAAUUCCGCCCAGAGCUUUUUGGGGUUGUUUCUUUCUUAAUUGGUAAACAACCACCCCUCCCCCUCUGGAGGGUCUCCUUCAGCCUUGCUGGGCACCCUCCUGGGGCACCUGUGUGUUUUAUAACCCACUCCCAAGUGUCUUGGGCAAAUUGGGGGGCGGAGGGGGUGGCGAAGAGAGCAGAACAUAUGCUUCCUGAAAGGUAGUGACACUAACACCGAGUGCCCGGGGCAGCAGCAGCCCCUGGGUCUCUGUCUGUCUUGUCCCCCCAGCCAAGGGCUUGAGUCAGCCACUGCGGCCAGCUACCCUAUGUUUCUGUCCUCAGAGUGGAAGGACGGCUGGUGAGCCCCGGUGUCCGGGAGGGGACCGCGGAGAGGCCCAGCCGGCAUCUGCAGUGAACGCAGGACCCCGUUCCUGCCCUUCGGGCACAUGUUUCGUGUGCCAGGCCUUGACCACACCUGGCAGCCCUGGGCUGCUAUUUUCUGCCCUCUUGGCUCCGCCUGGCUUGGAACCUUCCCGGGGCAGCGUCCUGGGGACACAUCCGGGCUGGGGGAGGCAGCUGAGCGGCCCCAGGUCUGGGAACCUGUGCACCACCCAAGCCCCGUGCCUUCAGGGGUCCUGUGAGCACUGGAACAGGAGCUGGGGGGCACAGAGUAGCCACCUACCAAUCAGCCCUGGGAUGCCCCUGCGCUACCCUGUUUAUCCGUGUGUCUGUCCAUCUUUCCUUGUAAGACCGUUUAUGGAGAGACUACUCUGUCCCAGGCCUGCUACUCCAGAGUGCCCGAAACGCUGGGAGAAGCGGGGUGGGUUGUGUGUUUGUUUUUUAAAGAGAAAAUGAGCUAGGGGGUUGCGCUUGGGGCUGGCUGGAGUGCCGUGCGGAGCCCGUCUUCUGAGCCGCGGAAUCCUCCUCAACCUACACACAUAGGCUUCCAGUGUGUUCCCAGGGCCCACGGGCCUCAUCUGGGGGCGGGCGGUGGAGGGAAAUCCACCUGCCAACGAAGCCUAAGACCCUUCGCCACGGCAGGUGGAAUGGAGUUUCUUGCUGUGUUUUUAAGGUUUUUUUUUAAUGCGUAUUUAUUUUUGAGAGAGAGAGAAAGAGAGAGGGAGAGCACGAGCAGGGGAGGGGCGGAGAGAGAGGGAGACACAGGAUCCGAAGCAGGCUGUCCGCGCGGGGCUCGAACCCACGAACCGCUAGAUCAUGACCUGAGCGGAAGUUGGAGGCUUAACCGCCUGGGCCCCCCCAGGCGCCCCUCUUACUGUGUUUUUACCAGAGCAAGUGUGAGCCUUGGCUUUCUCUCACUUCUCCCCUAGACCUCGGCUGGUCAGCCACACACACUCCGGCGACACGAUUGAAGUUUUAUCAAGGCUCCGUGUCAGGGUGUGACAUUUCACAGGAACAUGCUGUAGGGAUCCCUUGCUUUCUGUGAAAGCUCCUUGUGCAGAGGCCCCACCCUUGCGCGGGGAAGGAGACCUACCUGCUCUGUCCCGUGGCGUCCUCCCUGGCGACUCCUCUCCUCAGCUGCAGCCACUUCGGCUUUUCAGGACUGGAAAAUGUCUCGGGAACUGCGCCUCUUCCCGAAGCUUGAAACCAUUUGUUCUCUGAUGCGCGGUCAUUGGUGCUCCGUUUGUCCCCAAAGCGGAUGUCACCGUGGCUCCACCAAAAUCCUAUCAAGACCUUGUCGGGGGAGGCUCGAUGGGCACAUGGCCUGUGCAGGUGCUGCAUGAUCAGUGAUCUGUGGACCUCCUCGUAAACUCCUCAAUCCUUAGGGCGCCUGCGUGGCUCAGUCGCUUAAGCGUCUCACUUCGGCUCAGGUCACGAUCUCUCGGUUUGUGAGUUCGAGUCCCACGUCGGGCUCUGUGCUGACAGCUCGGAGCCUGGAGCCUGUUUCGGAUUCUGUGUCUCCCUCUCUCUCUGCUCCUCCUCUGCUCAUACUCUGUCUCUCUCUGUCUCAAAAAUAAAUAAAACAUUAAAAGAUAAUAAUAAUAAUUAAAAAAAAAAAAAAAGUCUUAAUCCUUUGCGAACACAAGGCCCUGGGCCCAGAAAGUUAUGUAGCUUAGUUUGGACAUUGGUCCUUAGUUUGGACAUUGGUUAAUGGUGUCAUAAAGUAAACCAACAAACAGAAAAUCCAAAAACAAAACCAAAAAACUAUGACUUUUAUAUUUCUUUUACUAAAUUCCGUUUACAGAAAUAAUCCCAGAUUCUAUGUAAACGAGAUAAAAAUGUUUUCAUCCACGACCAUUGUAUUUAGGAAAAACGUGUCCCCUGAAGACGCAGGAAGCUGUUGUGGAAGGAGUAUAGUUCCAAGAGAGUCGGAGGCAUCCACGUUCAGCCCUCAGCUCUGCCUCAUUUGCCGUCUCAGGGGCUCAGCUCCCUGGGCUGGGGGCGACCGGUCCCUCCUGCAGGGUGUCCUGAGGAGACAGGGUGAUGGGAGACGUUCGCAGAGGACCCGGCACAUAGCAGGUACUCAGUCCAAAGUACCCUUGAUUGUCAUGGUUACCGUUUGACGGGAAGGCUCACGCACAGUCUGACUGCUUUUAAUAUAAUGCAUUUUAAUAUAAUGUAUUUUAAUAUGAUGUUUUUUACCUACUUUUCAUGUAAGUUUAUCUCAUCUUAUUUUAAAAGUCAUACAACUGUAGGGGCGCCUACAGUUGGCUUGGUCGGUAGGGCAUGAGACACCUGAUCUCGGGGUUGCAAGUUCGAGCCCCACUUUGGGUGUAGAGAAUACUUAAAAAAAUACAAGUGUUAUAGAAAGUUUAAAGAACAUAAGUGGAGGCGGGGGUGGGGGGCUGGGUGGCUCGGUCGGUUAAGUGUCUGACUCUUGGUUUCCUCUCAGUUCGUGAUCUCAUGGGUUCAUGAGUUGGAGCCCCGAGUUGGGCUCUGGGCUGGCAGCAAGGAGCCUGCUUGGGAUUCCCUGUCUCUCCCUCUCUUUCUGCCCCUCCCCUGCUUGCGCUAUCUCUAUGUCUCUCAAAACAAAUAAAUAAACUUUAAAAAAAGGGUGGGGGGCACCUGGGUGGCUCAGUCAGUUAAGUGUCUGACUUCAGCUCCGGUCAUGAUCUCACAGUCUGUGAGUUCAAGCCCCACGUCGGGCUCUGUGCUGACCCCUCAGAGCCCAGAGCCUGCUUUGGAUUCUGUGUCUCCCACUCUCUCUGCCCCUCCCCUGCUCACACUCUGUCUCUCUCUCCUUCAAAAAUAAAUAAACAUUAAAAAAAAAAAAGGAACAUACAAGGAAGGAAGGAAGAUGGAAAGGGAGAAAAUUUCCAUCCUGGUCCCUCGACUCCAAAGACUUUGGCCAUUCUCUUUACGUUUUAUUUCUUUAUAGUUCUAUAAAUAGACAUAUAAAUACAUGACAUUUGUUAAACUUUUUUUCUUUUACCUCAUCAACUGAAUUUUAUUUACUUAUUUAAAAAUCUAUGUAUCGUGAAAAAAAAUAAAAAAUAAAAAAUAAAAAAAUAAAAAUCUAUGUAUCUUGAGAGAGAGCGAGAGAGCACGUGCGUGUGCGCGUGCACAAGUGGGGAAAGGGCGGAGAGAGGGAGAGAGAGCAUCCCAAGCAGGUUCCGUGCUGUCAGCACAGAUCCCGACACGGGGCUUGAACCCAUGAACCACGGGAUCGUGACCUGAGCGGGAAACACUACGUCACCAAGUGUCCUUAACUUGCUGUUGUCUCUUCUUUCCCAUUUGUGACUUGGUUUAAACACACACACACACACACACUCACUUUUUGUUUUUGUUUUUAACAGGUUCAGGCUUUUAUGUUUCCAUUUCUACAGUCUGUUACAGAAUCUGCUCAGUGAGGAAGGGAAGAGAAACCGAGUCGGUCGGGCCUCCUCCUCGGAACCUUUGUGAGGCCAGCUGGCCGGAGGGAAGCGGCCUUAGGUUCGGGGCGAUGCCGGGGCCCCAGCCCCGUUCUGUUCUGAACAGCUCUGUUCUCAGAGAAGUUCACGUUCCGCUGCGAAGCUCAGCUGCCAGGUCCACCGAAUGUGCGUACGUUAGAAGUCGCACAAGAGGGGCGCCUGGGCGGCGCAGUCGGUGAAGCGUCCGACUUCAGCCGGGUCACGGUCUCGCGGUCCGGGGGUUCGAGCCCCG